GUUUUUAUAGGAUCCAGCACCCUUUGCAGAACAUUCAAGUUCCUUUGGGAAACCAGAGUAAGGUUCCUGCUCUCUCUGGCUGUGCCAACCCAAGAAACAUGGUCCCAAUUCUCCUUAUUCCUUCACCUCUUUGCUACACUGGGCACUGCGAUGACGAUGGCUUCCUUUCAGGCCCUCCCUCCAGGUGUUCUCCAAGGGCUCUUCCUGCUACCAACUCUGUGCAGUAGCCCACCAGACUUACUCAGCAAUGCUCCCCUCUACCUACUCACUUUUACAACUUCUGUGUAAGUUCAGUUCAGUAAACGAGAACUUCAGGGGUCUGGGCUCUAGAAGCAGCUCCCAUGUGAUCCUGACCAAGUUAUACCACUUUCCUGCACCUUGGUGUCUACCUCCAUUUAACAAAGGGCACUGUGAAGUUCUUGGGUUUUCCACAAUUCUAAAGCACAAAUCUAAGAUGGCAACUCUCAGAAGCUCAUCUCCAGUCAGCAUUAACCCCAAACACCCAGCAGUGUGCAGGACACUAACCCUUGGCUGUAUCACUGAAUAAUAUCAACCUUCUUUUCUAUUUCCAUUAAUUGUACCAGCUAUUCUUUUGGACCCCCAAAGUUAUUUGAGCACAUUUCAAAUUGUAUGUUCUGCCAUGGCACAGGCCUAUCAACUUGCCUUCCACCAGUCUCUCAAAUAAAGUGCCUUCCUUGGAUUCCCA